rnacentral:rRNA from 1 species
ACGCUCGACACCUACGGGGGGCAGCAGUGGGGAAUAUUGCACAAUGGGGGAAACCCUGAUGCAGCGACGCCGCGUGAGCGAAGAAGUAUCUCGGUAUGUAAAGCUCUAUCAGCGGGGAAGAAGAUGACGGUACCUGACUAAGAAGCACCGGCUAAAUACGUGCCAGCAGCUGCGGUAAUCUGAGCGGGCUGGCAAGGC